rnacentral:RNase_P_RNA from 1 species
AGUGGUAAGGGUGGAAAGGUGAGGUAAGAGCUCACCAGCAGUCUGGUAACAGGCUGGCUCGGUAAACCCCAUCCGGAGCAAGACCGAAUAGGGAAGGGUUAAGGGUGGUCCCGCCUACCUUCCGGGUUGUGUCGCUCGAGCGUGCAGGCGACUGUACGCCUAGAAAGAUAAUCGUCACCGCGCAAGUGGAACAGAACUCGGCUUAUUGAUUGCUUGCUUCU